GACGAACGCUGGCGGCGUGCUUAACACAUGCAAGUCGAGCGGUAAGGCCCUUUCGGGGUACGACGAGCGGCGAACGGGUGAGUAACACGUGGGUGACCUGCCCUUAGCUCUGGGAUAAGCCUGGGAAACUGGGUCUAAUACCGGAUAUGACUCCAUGACGCAUGUUGUGGGGUGGAAAGCCCUGUGCGGCUAGGGAUGGGCCUGCGGCCUAUCAGCUUGUUGGUGGGGUGANGGCCUACCAAGGCGACGACGGGUAGCCGGCCUGAGAGGCGACCGGCCACACUGGGACUGAGACACGGCCCAGACUCCUACGGGAGGCAGCAGUGGGGAAUCUUGCGCAAUGGGCGAAAGCCUGACGCAGCGACGCCGCGUGGGGAUGACGGCCU
rnacentral:rRNA from 1 species